rnacentral:tRNA from 1 species
GCUAUUUUGGCAGAAAAAUGUGAUGAUUUUAGAAGUCAUUAAUGUAUAAUUUAUUAUAUAUAUAGUA